rnacentral:rRNA from 1 species
GAUGAACGCUGGCGGCGUGCCUAAUACAUGCAAGUCGAGCGAACAGAUAAGGAGCUUGCUCCUUUGACGUUAGCGGCGGACGGGUGAGUAACACGUGGGUAACCUACCUAUAAGACUGGGAUAACUUCGGGAAACCGGAGCUAAUACCGGAUAACAUUUGGAACCGCAUGGUUCUAAAGUGAAAGAUGGUUUUGCUAUCACUAAUAGAUGGACCCGCGCCGGAUUAGCUAGUUGGUAAGGUAACGGCUUACCAAGGCAACGAUACGUAGCCGACCUGAGAGGGUGAUCGGCCACACUGGAACUGAGACACGGUCCAGACUCCUACGGGAGGCAGCAGUAGGGAAUCUUCCGCAAAGGGCGAAAGCCUGACGGAGCAACGCCGCGUGAGUGAUGAAGGGUUUCGGCUCGUAAAACUCUGUUAUUAGGGAAGAACAAACGUGUAAGUAACUGUGCACGUCUUGACGGUACCUAAUCAGAAAGCCACGGCUAACUACGUG